CAUGUUAGUUGGGGGGAUUUCAAUAUCCUUCGGAAUCAGCAGGAAAAGAACAAUGACAGAUUUGAUUCUCGUUGGCCUUUUCUUUUCAACGUUGUUAUCGACAACCUCGAUUUGCGGGAGCUCUGUAUGUCUGGUCGCCAAGACACCUGGGCCAAUAACAGAGCAAACCUAACCUUUGAAAAACUAGAUCGAGUUCUGGUUACCACCGACUGGGAAUUCAAAUAUCCACUUGCUUCGGUACGGGCACUAGAACGAAUUGACGCCUUAUCGGAUCAUGCGCCUUUGCUUGCUGAUUUUCGUUUGGCUGCUCCUAGUGGGAAUUUUCACCAAUUCAAAUUUGAACUGGGAUGGCUUACUAGAGAGGGUUUUCAUGAGCUAGUUAAAAAAGUGUGGCAACGUCAACCUCGUGGUAAUACGCCAAUUGAACGAUGGAACAAUCGUAUUCGCGCUCUGCGCCGACUCCUUCGUGGUUGGGCUAAACACACUGCUGGAAUCUAUAAGAAAGAAAAGUUGCAACUUUCUACAUUAAUUAAUACUCUAGAUAAAAUCGCGGAGGUGAGGCCUCUGACUCCCACGGAGAUUGACCAAAAAAGUCAUCUUAAUGAGCAGAUUGCCCGUCUUUUGCGCGAAGAGGAAAUCAAAUGGUACCAACGUUGCAAGACGGACUCUCUUGUCCUAGGGGAUGAUAAUACGAAGUACUUUCAAAUGUUGGCCAAUGGCAGACAUAGGAAGAAAUGUAUCUUCGCU
rnacentral:rRNA from 1 species